rnacentral:rRNA from 1 species
UACGGGGGGGGCAAGCGUUGUUCGGAAUUACUGGGCGUAAAGGGCUCGUAGGCGGCCAACUAAGUCAGACGUGAAAUCCCUCGGCUUAACCGGGGAACUGCGUCUGAUACUGGAUGGCUUGAGAUUGGGAGAGGGAUGCGGAAUUCCAGGUGUAGCGGUGAAAUGCGUAGAUAUCUGGAGGAACACCGGUGGCGAAGGCGGCGACCUGGUCCGAUACUGACGCUGAGGCGCGAAAGCGUGGGGAGCAAACAGG